rnacentral:lncRNA from 1 species
UCCAUGCUGCUUGACUUUUGAGCUAAUGCUGGCUUUCCUACAUUAUUACAAAGUAUGUUCACCACGUCCUUGAAGCAUUUCUUUUGUCCCUAUUCAGUCAGAAGGCCCAUCCUCAGUUGCCCACUUGGAAAUUGCUUUGAUAACCUGCUGUCAGCCAUUCUCUUUACAUGGCCAACCUAUUGAAACUGAAUUACCAUAAGUAUAACUUUCCCACUAGUGUACUGACAGUGCUCUGGGCCCUCAUUAAUGCAGAUCAUUUUGCCAUUUAAUUUUAAAUAUAGCAUACAGGAAGAAUUGCCUAAGAACUGGAUAUCAUAUCAAUGACAGGCCUGACCACCACGCAAAGAACUUGAAUCCUCUGCAGUCUGCCAUGCCCUGAGUUCUCAAUUAGAAUUUCAUAGAAGAAAGCAGAAUUGGUCCUAUCACAUGCAUUCUCUCCUUUUCUCCCUACUGGUGUCUUUCUAUAUAUUCUGAUUCUACUUUCUAUAACACCCUUCUGUCCUCUUUCACCUUACCAUCCAACAGGGAAAAAGAGGGAUGUGAAACAAACAUCUAAAGGUCAUUAUUACAAGGAGUUCCCUGAUCAGUCUUCAUUCAGAUUGCAGCUACCCUAGGUUCUAUCAUACUAAGAGAAGAAUUAAAUAAUCUUCAUGGUCCUUCAAGGGUCAGAAAUAUUUAGCUUGGAUCUACCGUGUAUGACAAUCAUUUUAUUUCUUAUUUCUACUUAUUCAGAUAUCUAUGUAUCUUUUUUUUUAACCUAUUAUCUGUGUUAUUUUGGAUGCUAGGUUUGGAAGGGGGUUAUAGGAUAAUAUUUAAUACAUUUAAAAAUAUAUAUAAGAAGAUGCAAAAUUUUAAAAAUGAGAGAGAGGAAUGAAUGGUAAGUCAAUGAAUCAGAAUUCUGUUUGCCGGGAGAGAGAAGAAUUAGAAAAGAGGAAAUAAAAGUAUCUUCUUUUCUAACUUCCGCAAUCACCUGCUAACCUGUAAGAGUAGGUUUCUGGUCUUAUUAAGAAGUUGAAAGUUGAAAAGGAAAAUAAAACAAAACUGAUCUUGUUCCUUCUCAAAUGGGGAACAUGAAAUGAAAGAUUUGAGAGGUCAGUCUUCAAGAAUGGUAGAGGAAAUUGUACACAAUAAAAAAAUUAAAAAGACAAAGCCAUGGUUAUCUAGCAUCCAUGGAGAAUGUCAUUCUAAAUACAAACUUUCUCAAAUAAUAGAAGGUAAGCUUCUUUAAGCACAACCAUUCUUUUCAUUUUAACUACCUCUGAUGGAAAUCUUCUCAAAGUGCAAGGACAUGUCCCAAUCUUCCUAAGCAGAGAACAUGGAGCAUAAUUUAACCUUUCCUUGCUGCCCUGGGGUUAUCACUAUGAACAUCAGCUACAGCAUUUUGCUGUAAUAUGAGGAUGCCCUUGGGGACCGCUGAGUGCACACACAACUGUCUGACUUGACACAAAGUGAGUCCGAACUCCUAAUCUUUUAGAAUUUUAAUUUGAUUUCUUUAAAAAAAUUUUUUCAGGCUUUUAGAUAUUUUUUGUUACCAUUAUCAGAUGGACCCUACUUAUAGCAAAGUCCCCCAUUUGCAAUUUACUAUGGACUAGUAAACCAUAUCCUCAGACUGUGUGUGUGUGUAUUCACACACAUAAGACACAUAAUGUGUGUGUAUAUAUAUAUAAAUAUGUAUAUUUACAAAUUCAUAGUUAUAUAAAAUUUGGUUUUGCAAGAGAGCCUAAAGGGCCCUUGUAUUAAUAAAUGCACAACUCUCAGUGAGUACUUUUGUAUAUAUACUUCCUAUUCAGAAAGCCUGUUUUCUCUGCUCUUGCUGAUUUCUUACUGCAUUCCACAUCAAAGCUUCUCUAAUUUAAGGAGCACUAGAUUCAUUUAGGGAAUCCUGCUAAAAAUGCAGAGUUUGACUCUACCAGUCUGGGUAGAAGCACAAGAGAUUUUUGCAUUUCUAACAAGCUCCCAGGAUCACACUCUGAGUGGCAAGAUCUGAGAUUCUUUUUGAUAAAUUGGCAAAGUGAUUUAGACCAGGAAUCAAACCACAGCCUAUGGUUCAACUCUAGUUCACCAUCCAUUUUUACAUGGCAUGUGAGCUAAGAACAAUUUUUACAUUUUUAAAUGUUUGGAAAAAAAUAAAGAGAAAAACAAUAUUGUACUGAUACACAAUAAUUAUAUGAAUUCCAAGGUUAAGUAUGCAUUGGUGGAGUUUUACUGGAAUGUGACCACACUGGUGUAUCUUCUCCUGUGCUGCAAUGAGAGAUGUAUGGCCUACCAAGCCUAAAAUGUUCUCUCUCUUUCCCUUGACAAAAAUUCUUUACAGCCCAUUAUCUAGAUGACGAUACUUCAUAUGUGAAUGCCCCUUUGUCAAUUACGGAGGGAUCUUUGGGUCCUGAGAAUGGGUGUGACAGAUACUGCCGGAACAGGGCCAUCUAGUGCAGCUGGGCAAAAGGCUCCUUGCUCAAGGAUGCUCCAUGGAGAGGAGAUUGAUCCAAAGCCACACAAAGUAGCACAAAGGUUAGAAGAGGCCCAUCAGAGAUGACCAACAACUGGUCCCAAAUCACAUGCCUGGCAAGAAGAGUUACCAAGACAGAGCAGCAAGUCAAGUGGCCUUCCCACUGCACCACAAGGGGAUGUACUGGUAGAUUUGGUGUAGUGAAAUUUCCAAUUUGUUUCCUCAACUUAAUUGUUUCAAAAUGAAUGUAUUUUCCAUCAUUUCAACAUAAACAAUGAACUCUUAUGCUGAUGGUAAAAAAAAAAAAAAAAAAAAAGCCUUUGAAAUGAUAAAGUAGGCCAGAAAAUAUCUCAACUAAUAUUUUCUUCCCAAGUUUUAAUAUCCAAAUCAAAAUGAAAACAGCAGAAUUCACAUUCAUUGAGAAAUAUCUAUUCAUCUUUUAGAUUCAAAUAAGAUUUACUGGCUUUUUCCCAAAUGCUGAUUUUAUAUAAAACAGAUUCCAUUAAAACCCUAAACUCCCUUCCUUGGAUUUAAAGGGCAGCUUUCAAAAUAACACUAAAUCUUAGGUUCAUCACUUGUUAUUGUUAUUAUGGAAGAGAUUUUAGAUCUACUGAAAAUAUUUAUUUAAAUUAUCCUUUAAUUAUUUAAAAAUAUUUCUUAAUGGUUUAUAUAGACUAAUGGAAUAUUUUCUCUUCCAACCUGUGAUCUACAUAAUUUAAACAUGAUGGUUUUACAAAUAAGAAUGAACCAUGGGAAUAAGAUCAUUUCUUUAUUAAAUUUAUGGAGGUAGUUUUGUCUUUAUGUCAGCAAGGAAUGUUCUGGAUUUAGUUUCUUUCAUUUCCCACCAGAAGAACUAAGAAAACAAGAGAAUCCUUAGCUUCAGAAAGGAAAUAUCAUAGGCAACAUAAAUCCUCCUUUAUUUCAUGCAAAUCUUUCUACUCUCUAUAAGGUUUCACAACAGAUUUAUCCUCCAUUGGAUGGCACGUUAAAAUUUAUUAGGCUGAAAUGUGAAUACAAAGAAAACUGAAAUCAGAGCACAAAGAAUAAAAGUUUGGCCAAUAAAAAUACGUAUUUUUUACAAAGCUACAAUAUGGGCAAUGUGUUGAUAGCCAAAUCAUUUGUUAGUGAAAAUUUCUGUUGCUGGAAUUGAAAGCUUUUGUUUUCAGCACUCUCCCAUGGAAGAGUGCUACACUGUUACCUUAAAAAACUAGUUUUUCACUUAAAUGCAAUCAGAUAGCUUAUGCGAAUCCUCUUUUAGAUGUUCUUGCUAUCUUGUUAGAAUUUGACCUGUGUAAUUGUCAUUUGACAUAAUUGCAUUUCUAAAAUACAUAUAUAUAUAUUUAAUUUCUUCAUAAUUAGCUUCCUGCUGAUUUUCAAAUUUGCUUCCUUACUCACUUCAUGAGAAAAUGAAGGGCCUAUCACCUGAAUGUGGCCUCUCUCCGGCUUUUUCCAUCACUGCUAUGCCAAAGUACUUCAGUUCCAGAGAGCUGUUUCCUCUCCUGGAAUUUUUCCAUCCUUCUCUCUCUCCCCCUCUCCCAUCCCUCCUGGCCCCGUCACUCUCUGCCUCAUGUGGUAGAGACUGACAAGUUGUUUACCAACGGAUUUCCUUUUUCCUUCUGGGCAUACAGCUAGAUUCCAUUUCCCAGCCCUCCUUCCGAUUAAGUGUUGCCAAGUUACUAGGUUCUGACCCAUGGAAUAUGGACAGAGGUGAUGUAGGUCAUUCCCAGACCUACCCAUCCCAUGGAAAGAUAAAGGCCUUACCCCUCCCUGACUUCCCACAAAUGAAGCUUUAUCUCUGUGAUCUCUCCCCAUCUGCUGAUUCAACGGAAAGAACUCAUAGAACCUAAAGGGAGACACUGCUACAACAUUGAAAGAGCCUGAGUGCUUUUGUCACUACUGAGAAGAAAGCUGCCCAGGAGAGAUGGUCUUCUAGAAAUACCUAUUUUGGAUCAAUGUCCAAAUAAAAAAUAAAAACUAUUGAGGUAAGAAAGACAGUGAGACAUUAGCACCCCUUCAUGGCUUAAAAACAAGACAAAAAUUAUUAUCUCAAAGUUUUUGUGGGUCAGGCAUUCAGAGAAAAAUUAGCUGAGUGCCUGUGGCUCAGAGUCACAUGAAAUUGCAGUCAACAUACAGGUCAGGGUUGUGGACCUAUGUGAGUGCUCCUCUUGGGGGGAGGCGCAGGGGGAACACAUGCUUUCAAGGUCAUUAACGAGGCUGGUAGCAGGUCUUGGUCUUUUGUUCUGUAAGCCUCCCCAAAGGGUGGCCUCGUGACAUGUUAGCUCAAUUCCCCAAGAGCAAGCAAUGGGACACACUCACACACACACACAUCACCCAAGAUGGAACCAGUCUUUUCAAAACCUAAGCCUGGAAGUCCCAUCCCAACAAUAUUCUAGUUGUUAGAAGGGUGUGUAAGGUGUGAACACUAAGGUAAGGAUCAUUGGAAGCCAUCCUGGGAAGCCAGCCCCCAUGCUAUGUAUUCCCUGAUGAUCCCUCUUUUCUGGAGCAGAAGUAAUCAGGGACCCCUGUAUAAACAUGCUCAGAGAUACCCUGUAUAAAUGGGGAAGAUGGUGUAUUAGGUGAGAAUAAAUCUUUAAGAGUUCAAAAUGGCUGAAAUUUAGCCCAUGUUCCCAAGUCUUAAACUCACAAAAACACCACUAUAGGCCCAAGAUGACCUAUAUGGUAAAGUCCUCACCAACUCUGAAUAAAGGAAAACAGUUUCCAGGAGAUGAUUCACCCCUGUAUGUCUGGUCCAUCGUACUACAAACUGUACCUGGUAUAACCUCAGUACAUAUUUGUUGAUCAAAAAUCAAUGACUAUUACAUUUAGAAUGGAUAAGCAAUGACAUCCUGUUGUACAGCACAGGGAAUUAUAUCCAAUCUCUUGUGAUAGAAUAUGAUGGAAGAUAAUAUGAGAAAAAUGAAUGUACAUAUAUGUAUGACUGGGUCUAUUUGCUGUACAACAGAAAUUGACUUAACACUUUAAAUCAACUCUACUUCAGUAAGAAAAAUUUAAAAAAUGAAUGACUACUUGAAUGAUAGACAAAUUCUAGAUAUCUUAGAUGGCUUGGUGAUGAAUAAGAAUCUUAUUUGGGAGGAAUUUCAAGAAAUAGGCUCAAGGCAUGCUUGCAAAUACCAAAUACUGAUUCAUAGCUCCCAGAGCAAAAUAGACGGCACUUCUAAAUUUUCAGAGUUUCUCAGUGGUGUUUACAUACAAAGAACAAUUAAUUCUUCCUACACUUUGACUAUAAUUGUUUGGCUAUAAUUUGAAAUCAUUAAAAUUAUAAUAUUAAAGAAGAAAAUUCUACAAUAAUGUGGACAAUUUUCAGAGAUAUUUUUGCCUCUCACAUAUGUUUAUGCAAGACAAGGUUCAGUCACAAUUUUUUUCUAACUCAAAGCAGUUUCUGAGAAUGAAUUUGGCCUACCCCAAAGAGGAUAUACAGACUUUGGUCAAUUCUAGCAUUGUGAAUUAACUACAUAGUGAUAUUAAGUUUCUUGGUGAAUAACUAUUAUUAUAACUGAGAAAGAAAGCAUCAAGUGGAAAAUUGUAUCUAUGAGCACAUGUAUAAAGAUGGAUUGUGCCUUUCUUUAGUAUUCUCUCCAUUGAAUUCUCAGUAUUCAAAAGAAAAUAUUGAACUUCUGUAAAGAUAUUGAUGUUUACAAAGGUCACAGAAAACAAACAUCAAUACAUUUUCCCAAUUAUUGAAAAUUUCUGCUACUAUAGAUACAACCUUAGAAAACUCUAUAUAACAAAAUGUUAAAACAUAUUACCACAUUUAUAGUACACCAUAUUAAUAGCAUUUUUAAUUAAAGAAAAUAGAUGAAAUUAUUGCUGAUUUUAUUUUAUAAAAGCCUAAUAUUCCAAAACACAAUUGAUUUCAUUUUAAUUGGUGAUUAAAUGUAAAUAUUUACCUUUUCUUAAAUAUUAGGAAAUUCCAUUGUGAGAAAUUUAAACAAAAACAUUAUAGAAAAGGUGAGAGUUAGACAAAAAUGAGAAAAACUGCACCAUUUGGAGAGACGAAACACUAUGAAAAUUUUUAAAAAGUCUUCUACACUCUAUAUCCCUAAAUUUAUGUUUACAAUAUCAUAAAUCUGAUUCUAAGCAAAUUUUGAAAGCAAUCUCCCUCUAAUGUCAUCUAUGUAAUAAAUAAUAAAUAUUCUUAUAAUUGCACUAUUAAGGAUCUUAACUGCAAUACUAAUUAUGAGGUUAUUAAUCUUAAGGGUAACAUCCAUGUAUUUCUACCAAGAUGGGAGGUGAUAUGAGGUAAAUUGCCUUGGCUUCCUUUUUAAAAGAUAAGCUUUUGAGAUAAUGACAGUAGUUCAUUAAUCUUUGAUUCUAUGAUGUCUGACACAUAAGACAUGCUUAUAAAUAUUUCUUGAAUAAAUGAAUGAAUGAACGAAAGAGGAAAAAGAAUGGAAAGGAAGGGGGAGAUUAGUGAAGGAUUAAGUAGGGAAUCCGAACUGAUCUAGAUCAAAUAUGUUCUGUGCCCCAAUCACACUUGAGAUGAUUUGGACAAAGAUGCCAGUAGCUGGGAGGGAUUUACUUCUUUAAAAAAACACUCACUCUUACCCUAAAGGAAAAAACAAAAAAGUUCUACUACCCCUACACAGUCAAUUCUAUCAGUUACCAGGUAAGAAGCACCAUUCUUCUAAACAUUGUGGAUAGUGUAUUAGGUUGAACAUUUUUCAUCCACAUAAACUAUAUUUCCCAUGAACAUUAUCGUCUCUCAGUACAUUACGUUUUUCUGAAGAUCAAUAAAUAAUGAAGAAUAACAAUAACAACAACAUCAACAAACCCCCUGGGGACUAUGAGGCUUGCACUCAGGCAGAGAUUUGAGCAAACAGAUGGUUUCUUCGUUGUGCCCUGAAAGCAAGCCUCGUUGCCUUCUCUAGAACCGCUAACGGCAGUAAAUCCCUAAGCAAUUGGCCUUCCAUCAAAUACAGUCUGUAUCCGGUCUCAGGGAGUUCACAAUGAGGGACUUUUGGAAAUGGCGUCUCAGUUGAUCACUCCUGUAAUGGGGCAAUUAUAGUCAGGGAGGUUGCCUGUGAUGUAACCCAAACCUUCAUUUCUACACAGCUGUGCAGACCAUCAACUCAAAUUGUACCAACAAGUCAAUUGGGAGCCUAUUCAGAAUAUGGGAUAUUUAUUGGCUGAGGAAGAGGAAAGUCUAUUUGUUCAGCCACAGUGGAAUUUAUCUUUGUCGGCUCUGGGCACAGACAGUCGAGUGUGUGCAAAUAGCAGCACCCCUCCUGCCAAGUAGGCUGUUCUGGGCUGCCCUCUGACCCAAUUCUCAUGGGCUCUGUCUUGUCACUCCUGUCUUGAACUGGCCUGCUCCAGCGGUUCCCUUUGUCCAUCCUGACUCCAUGAGCUUGCACUUGCAAACCUUUUAACCUCUGUGACUGUCCAAAUGGAUUUUUCAGAAUUUUGCUGUUUAGUCAAUAUAUAAGGAUAAAAGGAUUGCAAGGAGCAGUGAAGACCUAGUUCACAUGAGAUGGCAUGUUUUUAAACAGAUUUCUCUUUUUCUUUUUUACUUUCUUUGAUAACCUUUGGCCAUUUGGAAGGAAAACAGAGAUUUGUGGUGGGAUUUCCCCAGUGCCAGGGAUUGGCAUACUGAGUAAGCCAAGGAGGCAAAAGAUUUAGGAUGGUGUUUAAUGCACUAUUCUGAUGCCUGACCAUAAGGUCCCAGACUGUGGAAAGGGUCAAGAGUAGGCAGGGAAAAAAUGAUGCUGUAGUAACAGAUAGGGGCCCAAAUAAAGAAAGAUUGUAGUCAAGAUGAACGUCUGGCUGCGGGUAAGGGAUUCAAAUAGGUGAAGGUGCAGAGAGCUGUAAUUUGAGAGGGAGAAUCAAACAUUGAAUUCUGGAAGUCACCUGACUGUGAAUGGUGAUGAGUUCUAAAUUCUCCUGCCUUUCUACUCCUUCUGUCCAUAAUAAACAGUUGAUAUAGAUCUCAGGUAGUGAAGCCGGACAUGGCAGUGAGCAACAAAGAAUGUUUCCUUAUCUGCUGCUACUGGAGGGGCUGUGGGGACCAAACAGUAGAAAAAAGCCAGCGUUCAGGUAGGUGAAGGAGUGAGAACGAAUCUACAAGAACAGU